rnacentral:lncRNA from 1 species
AUGCUGCCAAACCUAAGGAAUCUCGAAUUUUUAGAGCUUAUGAAGGAAAAGAAAUUACAUGCAGUGAUAACAGCUUCAGUCAACUGGAGAUCCUUCAUCUUGAUUGUCUUGAGAACUUGGAAAGAUGGCAUUUAGCCACAAGUGCCAUGCCUCUGAUUAAAGGUCUUGGUAUCCAUCGUUGUCCAAAGCUAAAAGAGAUUCCUGAGAGAAUGAAAGACGUGGAGAGAACUCCUUUUCGAUGAAGCUUUUCAAGGAUAUAUUGAUGUCCUAUUUCGGCCUCUUCAUAAUCAUAGAGGUAAUAAAUCUCAAUCCCCAAUGAUUAUUUCUUCAAUUCCUUUUACUCACUCUGCUGCAAAUGACGGUCCUAAACAUUAUAAGUAAACAGGUAGUUGAUAUAUCUUUUGUAUUUUACAGGAGAAGAAGCUGUCAAUGGAAAAAUGAUUUUGUGAAGGUUUAGUUAAUUGUUCUACUGUAUGUUCUCUUGCUUAUCAACAUUUAAGAUGAUGGUUUAUAUGUUAAGUGAUAUUUAAAAUAGUAUAUGAUACUCUCUUGUCCACAAUUUAGUGUUUUUUGUUCCUCCUUCAAUAGCAAAGCAGUUCAUUUAUCUAACUAGCUUUGGUAUCUUAAGUUUUUGGUUUUUGGUUUCAGACAGAUUCAACAAGCUAUAAAAGACACUACUUUUACUGCAAAAUUAGAGAUGCAACGCUGACGCCAACGCAUACCAAAAUAAUCAAAUCCUUAGAAGUCUAGUUUACUCACUCAAAUUUAAGGACAUGCCUUUUUCGCCUAACGUAAUCUAACCUUAAAAGGAAAUAAUGUACCUUUCCCUUAGCUUUCUUAUUUGUUAUUGUCUAUGAACUUAACAAGAAAGUAAUUUUCCAUGGAGAGAGAAAAAAUCUAUAACAAUAUCAAAGUGUAUAAAGAAUUUGAUUUGGUAAGAUAUAACAAGAAAAUAUUUCUAUUAAAAGGAAAAAUAAAAAAGAAGAGUUAAGAUAUAAUGAAUAUUUUCAGUUAAAUAUUUACAUUCAUCAUCAAUUCUAUAACUUAAAUUCAAUACAAAAUUGUGGAUGUAAUUAUCACCAUACCCAAACAAAUUUAUUAGGUGGACAAUUAAAUUGGACAACACAUCAUUAUUACUGAUAGACUUUUCUCCAUAUAUACUUUCAUUACUCUAAUUUUUUCAAAUGGGAACACUUUGAUUUUCUCUUGCCCAGUCAAGUGGGUCACAUUUCACUUUCAUUGCUUUAAUUUUUCUUGUUCAUUUUCCACAUUCGUGUUUGACAUAUUUGGCAAUCAUAAAUCUUUUUAUUAGGUGGACCAUUGUACAACAUAUAAUUAUUUACUUUUAGACUUUUCUACAUACAUAUAUUUUCCCGCAUGUUGUGUAAUGGUUAUUAAAGAAGCUUUAAUACAUAUUUCAUCCUUAACUUGGCUUCAGCGGACAACUAUGCUCUCCAACUUUGAGUGUGCACAAGUAGACACUUAAACUUAUAUGAAAUUGAACAAGUAGACACAUGUGUCCUACGUGGCAUAAUACAUGUAGGAUGCCACGUAGUACACAAAUUUGUCAUGUAGGACGAAUAUGUCUAUUUGUUCAAUUUUAUACAAUUUUAAGUGUCUACUUGUGCACACCCAAAGUUAAAUGUCAUAGUUGUCAGUUGAAGCCAAGUUAAGGGUCAUGUUUAUGUAUUAUGUCUUUUGUUUUUACUCAACUUUAAUCACUAUUAAUGUCAACUGUUUCUGAGUGUAUAUCACUAUCUCUCAUUUUUUGACUUGUAUUCCAAUAUACAGACCCAACUUUUCCAGAUAAAAAUCAAUACUCCUGAGUCCUGAAGAUGGCUGAUGCCUUUGUGACAUUUGCAGUUAAAAAAUUGGGUGAUUUCCUCAUUCAGGAAGUUUCCCUGCUUACAAAUCUGAGAGAUGAAGUUAGAUGGCUGAGAAAUGAGCUACUCUUCAUGCAGUCUUUCCUCAGAGAUGCAGAACUAAAGCAAAGUAGAGAUCAAAGAGUUCAGCAAUGGGUGUUUGAGAUCAACUCUAUUGCAAAUGACGCUGUCGCUAUCCUAGAGACUUACAGCUUCAAGGCUGGUAAAGGUGGCGAUGGAUUUGCUAGUUGUCUCAAGGCUUGCGCUUGCAUCUGUAAGGAGGAGACCAAAUUCUACAAAGUCUCCAAGGAGAUCCAAUCACUCAAGCAACGAAUUAUGGAUAUCUCUCGCAAGCGAGAGACUUAUGGUAUUACAAAUAUCAAUAAUAAUGCAGGAGAUGGACCAAGUAAUCGGCCAAACAAUCAGUCUGCCAUUGUUACAACAUUGAGGAGAACUACCUCCUAUGUGGAUGGUCAGGAUCACAUUUUUGUUGGAUAUCAGGAUGUUGUAGAAAGAUUGCUAUCUGAACUUCUCAAAGCAGAGCCUUGUCGAAGCGUCAUCUCCAUUUAUGGCAUGGGUGGUUUAGGCAAGACCACUCUUGCAAGAAAUCUGUACAUCAGUCCUGAUAUAGUCAAUAGCUUCCAUACACGAGCUUGGAUAUGUGUUUCUCAAGAGUACAACACCGUGGAUCUCCUCAGGUAUAUCAUAAAAUCCAUCCAAGGUUGCACCAAGGAAACUCUAGAUUUGUUGGAAAGGAUGACAGAAAGAGAUCUAGAAAUUUACCUUCGUGAUCUUUUAAAAAAACGCAAAUACCUUGUGGUGGUUGAUGAUCUAUGGCAGAGAGAAGCAUGGGAGAGUUUGAAAAGAGCAUUCCCGGAUAGCAAGAAUGGCAGCAGAGUUAUUAUCACCACGCGCAAAGAGGAUGUUGCUGAAAGAGCAGACAGCAGAGGUUUUGUCCAUAAACUUCGUUUCCUAAGCCAAGAAGAAAGUUGGGAUCUCUUUUGUAGGAAACUACUUGAUGUUCAAGCAAUGACCUCCACAAUGGAGAGGCUAGCUAAGGAUAUGGUGGACAAGUGUGGAGGCUUACCUCUUGCAAUUGUUGUAUUGAGUGGACUACUUUCGCAUAAAAGGGGGCUAGGCGAAUGGCAAAAGGUGAAAGACCGCCUUUGGAAGAACAUUGAAGAUGACUCUAUUGAAAUCUUCUACGUACUAUCAUUAAGCUACAAUGAUUUGUCAACUGCGCUCAAGCAGUGUUUUCUGUACUUUGGUAUUUUUCCAGAAGAUCAAGUGCUCGAGGCUGAAACCAUAAUACGAUUGUGGAUGGCCGAGGGUUUCAUACCAAGAGGAGAAGAAAGAAUGGAGGAUGUCGCUGAAGGCUUCUUGAAUGAGCUAAUAAGACGAAGCUUGGUUCAAGUGGCUCGAACAUUUUGGGAAAAAGUUACUGAAUGUAAGGUUCAUGAUUUACUUCGUGAUCUUGCCAUACAAAAGGCAUUGGAGGUAAACUUCUUUGACAUUUAUGAUCCAAGAAACCACUCCAUAUCCUCCUUAUGUAUCAGACAUGCCAUUCAUGAUAAAGGAGAAAAGUACCUCUCACUUGAUCUUUCUAACUUAAAGUUGAGGUCAAUUAUGUUCUUCGAUCCAGAUUUUCGGAACAUGAAUCUUAUAAACUUCAGUAGUGUGUUCCAACAUAUAUAUGUGUUGUACUUGGAUACUCUUGGUGGCACUGUACCUUAUGCCAUAGGAAGUUUGUACCGCCUCAAGUUCUUAAGCUUGAGAGGUAUUGGUAAUCUUCCCUCCUCCAUUGGCAACCUCAAGAAUUUACAGACACUUUGUGUCAAAAGUGAAUUUAGACAUUUGUGCCAACUACCCCCUGAGACAGCUGACCUAAUAAAUCUAAGGCAUUUAGUUGCUCCGUAUUCUGAACCUCUGGUACGUAUAAGCAAACUCACUAGUCUUCAAAUUCUUAAAGACAUCUCUUGUGAUCAGUGGAAAGAUGUUGACCCUGUUGAUUUAGUCAAUCUCCUAGAAUUAAGCAUGAUUGAUAUUACCAAAUCUUACUCCCUAAACAACAUUAGCAGAUUGAAAAACCUUAGCACUCUCAAAUUGUUUUGUAGAGGUGGUCAAUCAUUCCCAGACCUUGAAUUUCUUAUUAUUGUGAAAAGCUCCAGAAAUUGUGGUUAGAUGGGAGAAUAGAGAAACUGCCUCUGUUACCAAAUUCCAUCACAAUGAUGGUUCUUUUGGACUCAAAACUCAUGGAAGAUCCGAUGCCUAUUUUGGGAAUGUUGCCAAACCUAAGAAACUCGAAUUUCUUAGAGCUUAUCAAGGAAAGAGAUAUUCUGCAGUGAUAAUAGCUUCCGUCAACUCGAGUUCCUUAGUCUUGCUUGUCUUGAGAACCUAGACACAUGGCAUUUAGCCACAAGUGCCAUGCUUCUGAUUAAAGGUCUUCGUAUUGAUCACUGUAAAAAGCUGAACAAGAUUCCCCAGAGAAUGAAGGACGUGAAGCUUUUCAAGCAUACAUGAAGUCUUAUUUCAUAAAUAGUGUGUUAAUAAUAUUUCGGUUAAACAGGAGAAGAAGCUGUCACUUGAAGACAUUUUUGGUCAGUUGGAGUUUGUUCGUCUUUGUUAAUCUUCGGGACUUGGAGAGUUGGCAUUCAGCUACAAGUGCCAUGCUUGUUAUUAAAGGUUUGGGUAGACAUGAGUGUUUGAAGUUGCAUCAGAUUCCAAAAAGAAUGAAAAGUAUGCUGUGUAUUUGCAUCCAGAUACUGAUUGUGAGCUUUGGAUGGAUUUUUGCACAAAGCAUUAUAGGAUUUGCAUUGUCGCUACCCUGUUUCGAGGCCUAAGUAGACCGUGUAUGGAGGAAGAUGUCAAGUGUCUCGGUUUAUUUGAGAGCAAAGUAGCAAUUGUCUUUACUUUUACGGCUUAAUUAGGACCAAUUGAUCACUUCUUUUGGAAUAUAUUAAAGACUAUUUCCAUUAUGUUUAUACAUUUAGGACUAAAUGAACCAAAGCUCGUUUAUUAAGGAGCAUUUUUAUAAUUUUUCUUCACGAUUGCAUAGCAAAGGAGUUCAUUUAUCUAACUAGCUUUAGUACCUAAUUUUGGGGUUUUCUGAUUCUGUACACACAAGCUCAAAAAUCCGAUGCCUCAUUGUUUCUAUUUUAGACAGAUUCUAUAAAACAAACUAACGAAAGACGCCACUUUUAAUGCAAAAGUAGAGAUGCAAUGCGUACCAAAAUAAUCCAAUUACUGCAUCAUGAAUGACAGAUGAUGCCCUCUUACGUCUACUUAAAUGCAGCCACAUUCAUUCCAUGCUAGUAAAUAAGAUCAACAUUGCAUCAUCAAUGACAGAAACAACACCAAAUACCAUUACUGAGUAACAAAACCGAAAAACAGACGAUGACACAUCAGAUUUUCACAAAAGGCAGUUGACAAAGUACAGAUUUUGGUUCAUAAAUUCAAGUAACAUCAAAUCACAAUGCACGUUAUCUCAAGGCAAUAAAUGUGUCAUUUAACUUGACCUCAUUUCACAUUUAUGACCUUCAACUUUGGAUGUGGUAAACAUUUAAACUUGUAUAAAGUUAAAUAAGUAGACACAUAAUACGCAUAGGACACCACGUAGGACGCAAACUGUCAUGUAGGAUGCCACAUAGGACAUGUGUGUUUAUUUGUUCAACUUAUACAAGUUUAAACGUCUACUUGUCCACACCCAAAGUUAGAGGAAUAAAUAUGAAAUGAGAUCAAAUUAAAGGGCAUAUUUGUGCAUGGAAAAAUCUUUUUGGCCAGAGAAUACAUCUCAACUAUGCUUUUUUCACAGAGAAUACAUCAAUUUCACCACAAUAAUUCGUUGGGCAUAUCAAUUAGACGCCAAAACCCAAUAAAAUACGCCUAAAACGAAAACCCACAAUUUUCAAAAGUUGUGAUAUCACAAUUCUUACCUCAAAUAGUUGUGAAAUGGAGGUUUCUAAGAAGAAAUCUCAUAAUCUCAAUUUUUCUCCACUUCAAUCUUCUCUUCUUCUGGCCCCAAAGUAUUUGGAACCAAUAUGAAAUUUGGGUCAUUGUUA